AUACAUUCCUUGCACUCUUGCUCACAAGUAGUCUUUGUAAUAAUACUGGGUGGUAGAAUGUAGCCACAAAUAUGUCAAAACCAAAACGGGAUAUUCUGCACUCACGCACUUCUUUAAAACAUAGCGUAUAUUUCAUCAUAACAAUAACAUUCACAUUAGUUAAAGUACAUAAAAUGCUCAAAAUGGUCAACAUUUUAGUCCCUGAUUGGGACUGUCCUCGGGAUAAGUCCUGAGCGGGGACUGAGAAAAGUCCUGAUCAGGGACGGAAACGUCAACCAUUUUGAGUAUUUUAUACACUUUAACUAGUGUGAAUUUUAUUAUUAUUUUUUUUUCAUUCUUUAUUUUGUUUGUGCAGUUAAGAAACAUGUGACUUGCACUGCCACAAUAGCCAGUGCAGAACAAUUGUCAUUUAUAUCAAAGACAUUGCACUUUUUUUUUUGUGAGAGAAAAAACAAACAGGUUUACAUCGUGUACUUCCUAACCACCUCGAGGAAAGAGUCGCUUUGCUCGCCGAUUGAUAGCAUGGUUUAGGAAAAGGUAGGGAUAAAGGUCACGUUAAAACAUUGCUUUAUAAAACAUCACUUUACAAUAUUGAGUCGAGGAUAAACGGCUUAAUAGUUGUUAGAGUGAGUAUCAUCGUUUGCCAAUGAACAAGUGCUGCUGGCUUUAUACAUUAACACGUUUGGCGUGGACCUGCACAGGUUAAUGAGAGUAGACUAAACAGGCAUAAACAAACCAGAUCUAAACUAAGCAUUUGUGGUAUAGUUAAUGGUUCAAGGCAUGAUACUAGACAAGGUAAGUAUUGCUGUGACAUAACAUUUGCCAUGGAGACAGGCUAAUGCAUUAAGAUUUAACAUGACAAGCUGGCGAGAGAGUGGCUCAACAGACUUAUGGCAUAGAGAGGUUCUGCACACAUUUUUAGGUUAGGUUGAGUAUAGUAGCUAGGUCACAUGCAUAUUCAACAUAUCUAAUGUGUGUGUAAAGGGUUUUCAUCGCUUAUUAUCUAGAUAUAUUGGUAAUGUUGCUUAAUGUGGUUGAACAACAGGCUUACAAUUUAUCUAAACACACUAGGUAUUUAUGAGUGAUAUGGGUUGUGUAGAGUUAGUCCCCAAUGAGUGUGGUAGAAUACAAGCGUGUAAGUAGUGUAUGUGUGGCAUAUUAGCACAUACUGUACAUUAACCACCUAUGUGAGCAGCUCGUGUCAUAUCUUUGGUCUGUAGAGUCUGUGGUGCCCUCCGAGGCGGUAUUAGCUUUAGUCUGGGAUCAUCCGAUUCCACACUUGGUCCUUGUUGCGGGGGCAGUCAUAUUGGCCCAUACAGGGUCUUCAGAUGUGGAUCUAGUCUCGGCCCGGUGUUGUAUAGCUGUCUCCCUUGUCGCAGUGCGCUGCUCAGCCCCAGCUCCGGGCUACCCUAUGCCAGCCUGGCGGACUGUGGUACUGUGCUUGGGUGUGUUGCUGUGGUUUUGGGGUUGCUUGGUAUUCUCCUUACCAUGUUUGUAAAUGCGGAUGUGGCGUCGACGGGUCUCCGGGUGGAUCCACGAGGCCACCGCUUGAGGGCAUGCCCCUGAUUUGCAGAAUCUCACAGAAGGCUGAGUAGAGCCGAUCUAGGGCCGCCAAGGGGUGAGGUUACCUUAGGCAAUUUUCUUUCUUUCUCUUUAGCUGUCGUCGAGCGGCCAUCUUAGACACUCUCCGGCUGACUCAUGUUUCUUUCAAUUGUGUAGGUUCUUUCACUGGCAUUCCACUUUAGCCCUCUUGUCUGUUGGUGACCAGGAUGUCCCCCACUGGUCCAAAGGGGGAGGAGGGUAGGAGGUCUGUAGUGCUUUCUGGGGAGUCCGGUGUCGCGGACAGCGGCCGCCUCUCCCCGGCUCCAACUCCCGCAGGCCUCAGUUUGCGUUGCGGUCUAUGCGCCUCAGCAGGUUCAAAAAGGGUAUCCCCCGAUUCCUUGGAGCACCCCCGACGUGGGUGGUGCACCUUGGCGGGUCUCUGGGCAAUAUUGCAGCUGAUAUCGCCUUGUUUAUCUCUUGCCCAGCGGGAGCUCUUUCCCCACGCAUCUAAUCAGCUUGGCAGUCAGACUCCGCCCCCUUAAAUUUUAUUUCUAUAAGGAAAAACACACAAUGUUUUAAAGAAGUCUAUGACUUUAGCUUAAUGAAGUAGUUGUGGUGUAUAGAUGAUGCCCUUGCAUUCUCACUGUUACAUUUCCUGCCUUUUAGGAGUUAAAUUACUUUGGUAAUGCAGCCUUAGUCACACCUCCCUGCAUGUGAAUUACACUGCCUUUAUAAACAUUUCCUGUAAAGAGUCAUCUAAUGUUUACACUUCCUGUAUUGCAAAUUCUGUUUAAUUUAGAAAUUCAUAUCUCCUGCUCUGUUAAUAGCUUGCUAGACCCUGCAGUAGCCUCCUGUGCAUGAAUAAAGUUCAAUUUACAGAGCAGGAGAUAACAACUUUUAAAGUAAGUUAACAUCUGAUUGAAAAUGAGACAAUUUUGUUUUCAUGCAGGCUGUGUCUGUCACAGCCAGGGGAGGUGUAGCUAGGGCUACAUAAACAGAAACAAAAGUGAUUUAACUCCUAAAUGGCAGUGGAUUGAGCAGUAAGACUGCAAGGGCAUGAUCUAUACACAAAAAAACUGCUUCAUUAAGCUAAUGUUGUUUUGGAGACUUUAGUGUCCCUUUAAUGAUUGCAAUUGGCAUACAUAUUUUUUUGAACAUAAUUUAAUUUGCUGCUUUAUUAUUCAGCCAGAAGAAUUCACUUUCUGACAAUUUACAGCUUACUGAAAAGAAUUUGUGUAUUGCUUUGUGGAACACAUUUUUAUUGUAAUAUGAAUAUUAUUACUUUGGAUUUCAAUAGGUUUAUCUUUUUGGGAGGAUCUAUAUAUUGGUAUUUUGGUUUUUUUACUUUAUAUUUGGGCUUAAGCAACAUCUUUUAAUUUAUGUUAUUUUCAUUGUUACUGUCUUCACAAAUAUAAAAUGUGUUAUUUAAAAAUAACAAAACCAGACAAAAUAUAUCUACACCCGAUGAUCCGUUAACUUGAAGGACAUUAUCUGUCACAUUAAAACUAAAUUUACAACAGAAAAAACGAAAAAGCGGAAAUGUGUUAUCUUUGUUGUUUUCUUUUAACCCAAAUAGAAAAUUUUACUGUUAAUUGUAUUGAAAGGUUAUGCCUUGACAAAUAAAUAGCAUUCAAGUUAUAUUUAGAAUAUAGAAAGCCUCCUCCACCUGGAUUCCAAUUGUAAUUCAAUUGUGCAGUAAAUAAGAAACCAAUUUAGUGUGAUCUUUAUAAAAAAAAUAUAAUAUGUUUCUGGGAUUUUAGCUUUUGUUCAGUUCUUCCAUAUCCUUUGACGUCUGUGAGAACCAUUCAGUCCUUUAGGAAUUCUUAGCAUAUCACGUUCUUUGGAUGGAACUCAAGUUUCCAUUUAGGUGAAAAAUUCUGAAAUAUACUGUAUUUGUACUUUUUCUGAGGUUUCUUUUUCUUGAUGAAUUGUCUUUUUUUAUAUUUUGUAUCUGUUUAGAGUUCAGUAGUUGUAUUUAUGAAAAUAAAAAUAUUUUUUCCCACUAUAA
rnacentral:lncRNA from 1 species